UUUGGAAGUGUGUGGAAACAUUUUAAAGGAUGGAGUGAUGGACCUUUAAUAGAGGAUGGAGUGAUGGAUCCAGAAGGUGGGCAGGUUUCCUCUAAGACACCAUGUGGUGUGUUUUAUUAUUUUUAUAUAGAUAUCACAUUAAAAACAAAAACUCAACCACUAUAUUUACUAACUCCAAUUAAGUAUCAAAACCAAAUAUUCCUUGAUUUGCUAAAGAUAUAUGCUAAGAGGAAUCAGAACCAAUUAGUCUAAAGUGUUCCCACUUAAGAAGGUGAAUAAGAUUAAUAAUGUCAUGUGGAUCAUUAUUCAUCACACUUAAUUCAAUUAUAUUUUGUAUAAAAUAAAUUGGUGGUGUAACCCAUGACAUCACUUCUUGUCCACUGUCUUGAUAGUGAAUGCAUCAAUUGUUUUCCAUUAUUUAGUACUCACUUUUUCUUUUCGUUCAAGACACCUAGUUAACAAGUGACAGAUUAAAUAUUACAAAAUUUGUCUUCCAAACUUUAUAAAAGACCAUAGAACCUUAGAACAAAAACACAAAAACAAACACACUUGAUAGUUACUAAAUUCAUAGAGAAAAAUUGAAGUGCUGAAAUGGCUACAAACCAGGAGGAGGUGAAACUUUUGGGAGCUCUUGGAAGCUCAUUUGUGUGCAGAAUAACUCUUGCUCUAAAUCUAGGAAUUGAAUUUGAAUUUGUUAAGAAGACUUGCAGAACAAGAGUGAGCUUCUUCUUAAAUAUAAUCCAGUUUAUAAUCAGGUUCCAGUUUUUGUCCAUAAUCAGAAUCCUAUAUCAGAAUCCCUAGUUAUUCUUGAAUACCAUUGAUGAGCUAAAAAUACCAACAAAAUUUCAGGAAGCUGUUAAUGGUGAUCCCACCAAGAGAAAAUGUGUGAUUGUUGGCAGUGAUAGAACGGAGAUGAUUUUGUCCUUACAGCUCAUGUCCCUCCUAGCAAUAUGUUUGGGUAUUCCACAACCCCUUGUUCCAUGACACAGGUGCCAACCAAUACUCCUGAAUGUUUUAUGUUUUGAUGGCAAGUUAUAAUUGUUUUUUGAUUUCCUUGUAAUAAUUGCAGGGUAAAGGUGAGUUCACCUUUGGUUCCUCAAAUGAAGGGUUUGAAAGUUCUUUUUUUAUUUGAUUUGUAUUGGAAUUUGUUGAGUCUGUUGCAGAUAUUAAAAGAAUGGGACCUCUUGUCGAAUAUGAACGACGAAUUGCCAAUGGUGAUUUGGUGGAUGGUGAUAGUUAUCAGGUUAUGUGCUGAUUUGGACAAAUGGUUGUCCAAGAACUCAACUCAUGAUGUGUUUUUCUGUUGCAAGUCUUCAUAGUUGUUUUCAUGUGCUCUAAGCUUUAAUGUCAAAGUCCAUGGUGGUCUUAAUAUAACUAUGAUUGUAGAUGCUUUUGAAGCAUCAGAAUGGUGAACA